rnacentral:rRNA from 1 species
GGUUCAGGACGAACGCUGGCGGCGUGCUUAACACAUGCAAGUCGAGCGGAGACAUGUAACGGAAGGCUUCGGCCGGAAGAUACAUGUUUAGCGGCGGACGGGUGAGUAACGCGUGAGCAACCUGUCCUUCACAGGGGGAUAAGAUACCGAAAGGUGUUCUAAUACCGCAUAAGACCACAGAGCCGCAUGGCAGAGGGGUCAAAGGAGCAAUCCGGUGAAGGGUGGGCUCGCGUCCGAUUAGAUAGUUGGUGAGGUAACGGCCCACCAAGUCGACGAUCGGUAGCCGACCUGAGAGGGUGAUCGGCCACAUUGGGACUGAGACACGGCCCAGACUCCUACGGGAGGCAGCAGUGGGGAAUAUUGGGCAAUGGGGGGAAAAACCCCCUGACCCAGCAACGCCGCGUGGAGGAAGAAGGUCUUCGGAUCGUAAACUCCUGUCCUAAGAGACGAGCAGGAGACGGUAUCUUAGGAGGAAGCCCCGGCUAACUACGUGCCAGCCGCUGC